GUGCCUGGUUCAGCAGCACAUAUACUAAAACCGAAAUGAUACAGAGAUUAGCAUGGCCCCCAUGCAAGGAUGACAUGCAAAUCCAAGUACAUAUUUCACUUGUAU
rnacentral:snRNA from 3 species